UUUUUUUUUGAGAGUCGAGUCUGGUGAUGAACACGUGUUGUCAAAAUUUUCAAAAGUUCUUGUUCAAAUUAAUUUUUAAUCGUGAUCCUUGAAUUGUAUUUUUGAAAAGUCAUGCAUCUGCAUUCGGUUUUUAAAUUAAUAUUUUUCUAACUUGUUUAUUUUUCUGUUUUUUUUCAGCUCUAAGUUUUACGAUUUUUUUUAGUUUUUUUAGUAAAAAUAAAGAAAAAAAGGUUUGUGAGUUUCUCUCCACACACCGUGCACUUACAUUUUUGCAUAACAUGAGCUCUCUACCAGGGCUCCGUCCGUUUAAGUGGAAGUAAACGCUACGCCUUCGUGAGUUAACUCGUCC
rnacentral:lncRNA from 1 species